UACGUAGGGUGCGAGCGUUAAUCGGAAUUACUGGGCGUAAAGCGUGCGCAGGCGGUUUUGUAAGACAGUGGUGAAAUCCCCGGGCUCAACCUGGGAACUGCCAUUGUGACUGCAAGGCUGGAGUGCGGCAGAGGGGGAUGGAAUUCCGCGUGUAGCAGUGAAAUGCGUAGAGAUGUGGAGGAAUACCGAUGGCGAAGGCAGCCCCCUGGGCUAUUACUGACGCUCAUGCACGAAAGCGUGGGGAGCAAACAGG
rnacentral:rRNA from 1 species